UUUGGUAAUUUUGCUGCUCUUCCCGCUGGCCCUGCGGAAGGCUAAUUUGGCUGAGAUUUUACAAGUUAGCCAUUUCCUAGUGGACUGAAUCAACUGGAACCGGCCCUCAAUGUUCUCCGCCGUGAAAUCAUUUUGUUUCUUCGAAACAGGUUCAUCAAUCAACUCGGGAGUGCGAGAGCUCGAGCCUCGUUGCCGAGCCAUGGAUGGCGCCGCAAAAGUUCUCAAUUCUUGAAUGUUCUGCCCUGAAGGAUGCCCAACACAGGAAAAGAAAAUAAUUUGGAAAUAAAUAAUGCUGUGUGGAAACGCG